CCGUCAAUAGCAUGACGCCAUGUUGAACUUGUGCUGCAUCACGCGCGAGUACGUUGUCGUUGAGUGGUUCUGAAAUCGCUGCGUUAAGGGCGACUGCAACCAAGCGUUGUGGCAAGUUACGGUGGGAGCUUCUGUCCGUGCUGUGUGAUUGCGACGAGGGGACUGCCGCCAGCAGCAGCGUAUCGCCGAUAAGCGCCCGAAGUGCUGCGGUUUGCACUGCAUCUUUCAUUGUGAUAUGGGAGAUCGCAACGGACAGAGACGACCAGAUGCAUACGAACGACUACCAGCGGGGAGUGACCUGUGCCAUAUUUCUCUUAACGUCUCAGGUAUUCAAGAAAUGGCAACAGCCAGAAGUCACCAUCUUACCAGCACGUUAUGGGUACACUCUGGCGGCUCCUACCCCUGUGUCCUCCCACCACCCUGUCCUGACUACAUCCACUAGGUAGUUGGGAGCCUUUGGCGGCUUCUGCCACUGCAUCCUGCCGCCACCAUGUCCCGACUAUGUCCACUAGGGAUUUGGCAGCCUUAGUGAUGAUGCCAGCAGGCUGACAGCGGACAGAAAGAUUCAGGUUGCCUCGAAAUUUUACCCAAGCCAUGCCGCACACUCGGGCCAGGCCUCUUGCGAACGACGUAUAACCAGGCUCAACGCAUCAGGGUCGAGGGAGUCCGGAGAUCAAGGCAACCUGCUGUGCAACCAGCGUGCAACCUUUGGUGACCCCUCUACAUGUGCUACCUAUUUCACAGCUGUGCCUCACCUACCAUCUAUCCAAACAGCAUCACCGGCUGUGAUCACUUAUCGAACCAUGGAUGAAUGUUGGGGUGGAGUGAUUUGAACAGACAUUCUAUUUGUCUCUUCAAAUUCUUUGUAAAUAUUUCUGUUAUAAUUCAUAUGUGUCUUUAGUAUCUAGUUUUUAAUAGUUCCUUUCUCUUAGAAUUCUCACCAUCAGCCCCUGCUAUUCUAAUGUAUACCUGCCUUUAAGCCCCGUUUCUCGUAGUUCUUUCGUACUUGUGGAUGUAAUUGAUAGGUUAUUAAUUCUUGUUGUACGGAAGGCUAAAAUACGAACUUACGGCAUUUUUUCUUCCUUUGAUAAUCUACAGCACUGCAAUGUGUUCAAAAAAUGUAACAUAACACGGGCUCUGGUCCAGGAUAAAUUUAAGAGCAAUAUAGAGUACUUAUUUCAAGCACCCAUUAUUUUUUAAAAACUCAAGGAUAUAGGAGCACAAGAAAGAAACUAUUGAACUAGAGAAACAUUGGUUCCCCUCAUAAGUCUGGUGAUAAUGUGACUUCUUUCACUGCAAAGAUACUGGUACUCGCAUACAAGGUUUGAGACAUGAAAGCUAUGAUACCCUUGGCAUUUCUCAGUGCUUAUUUGCCACACUGAUGAAUGUCAAAGGCAGCAUAGGUUUCAUGCACACAUUGGUUGUAUUACAUCUUUUGAGUAUUGCAUUUCUCAAACACACGGGUUUGCAGCAGUGCUUUAAAUAGCAGAUGUAUUUCCUAAUUUUCAGAAUUUGUUAGUGCAAGAGUAACGCUACAGAUCAUGUAAAAAUAAUUUUACAGACUAUAUGUCCAUGGAUGCAUGUUUCUUCUGAUGACGUAGCAGUGCCAUGUGGUCGGGGGAUGAAUGUCUAUUUCAGAUUUAAAUAUUGGCUUCCAGGCCUGGGUUAGUCUCCUACACUGAGUAUUCUAGGUCAAAGCCCAGUUACUAGAGGAAAGUGAAUAAAACUAGGAAUUAUAAACAUCAAAAGAUCUUGUUCGGGACACUAAUGUAACAAUCAGCAAGGUUCUUUGUGCAUUCAUUUCCAGAUUUGCGAGAUUAUAUUUUGACUGGUUUCAUUAAUGCGAGAACAAAUAUUUCUUUAUUCUCAUGCUAGAGUUGGCUGCCCCCAUUCGCAUACAACCCCUUUACAGGCUAAAAAUUAAGUGUAUUAAUAGGCUGUUUUUCGGUUUUGCGCCCUCAGUGUUAAGGGAUGCAAACGGGGACAUACAACAGAAUGCAGAAAAAUGUCUAAGGAAUGCAAGCAGGGCAUGGGACUUUUUAGACAGAUGCAUGUGUGUGCUAUUUAUAAAACUCCCUAUGGUAUGCCUCAAGGAGUUUUGUAACCCUUUGGUAGAAACACUGACACCCACUUAUUAAGGGGAAAUGCUCCUCGAAACAACUUUUUUAAUUUGUACUAGAAAUUUGAAUGUACUGCUAUUCAUAGGCAGUUUUAUGUAGAUUUGAAUUGUCAUUGGUUUUUGUGUAGCUGGUGUUUAGUUAUGUCCUACAUAGUGGCAAUAUAUUUUUAUGGGCACUUGUGUGUAACAGUUUCGCAAAUGGUUUCAUGCUGUAUCUUAUUUAGCUAGGUGUAUACCGCAAAGUGGCGAUACCUAUCCAAACAGCUUGUACAAUUACUGGAAUUAUGCAAAAAAUAUUGGGCCACUUUAAAUAAUUUUUAGAUUGCAAUUUCAAUUAGAUACUGGUAUUCUGCUUAUCUUGAAGAGUCUACAGGCAGUCUACAGGGAGUCUUGGCAGGUCUAUCUUGGCUACAGUCUUGGCUACAGGUCUGUCUUGGCAGUCUACAGGGAGCUGACUUAGCUGCAGCACACUGCUUUUUUUGUGAAAAUUUAAUACACAAGAAAGUGCCCGCAAAUAUCACUAUGUAUUUUGCCGUUGUAUAGGACAUAACUCACGAAGCAGCUAAACAAGAACUAAUGGAAUAUAUGAAAUCUGCAUGAAGAACUCUACAAUUGGCUCUCUUUUGAAACCUCUAGUACAAAUAAUAAAAAUAGUUCGAGUAAUAUUCAAUCAGCAAAACGUUCCCCUUGCUACAGUGACCUACAACAUAGCGACGCAAAGCUUAAGGCAAGUCCUCUUGUCGAAGCGAAUAUGGGCUGUCUUCCCAAGGGCUUCUGUUAAAGACGGUGAAUUUUCCUGCAUUUACCAGAAGUGCAAUACUAAAAUGUUUGUGAAUGUGCGAUUGGUAUUGGCACACUAACAGAAAAAAAGACAGUUCUGUGAAAUGUAGACUUGAGACGUGACUUUGUUGGACAUUUAAAUUUUGACUCCAUAUAUUUGUGUUUUGUACUGAGUGUUUCACCGGUGACUGCCACUAAUUAUUGAACAUAACUGCUUAAUGACAGUGCGACAAUUUUCACUAACAUAAAUUUUAGCUGUGGCAGGCAUUAGAAUUGCAGUACUCAAUAACGUCUACUUUGUAAGAACUCAGACUAGCACCAGUUCUGAGAUACAUAUACCCAAAAAGUAAUGAUCAAAUAGAUUUCUUUUCCACACAGAAUUGCCCUACAAGGAUUACAGAAGGCUUUUUGGCAAAGUAAUAUCCGAAAGAGCAAAGCAUGUUCCACCAAGUAUGGUGACAAAUAUUCCAGAGCUGCCAGUCUGAGGACUCCUACAAACUAACAAUACCUUCAGCACUGACUAGCUUCAAUAAUGGGAUGUCAGUGUUUUGCUAAAAUUAAUGAAACUUCAAUUAUUGUGAUCUUGUUUAAGAAGACAUAUGUAAUUAACAUGCAGUUCUAAUCUCUGUCACUUUUGUAAAUAUUUCCCAAUUAUUUUUUCAGGCUACAAUUUUUGGUUACAAUGGUAUUCAUUGCAGAAAAAGCUAGUACAUGGCAUUUAAUAAAGAAGGUACUGGUCAUUGUAGAUUUUCUGUCUUCAGCAUUUGUUCUGUUCCACAGCUGUUUCUUGAAAUCUGAAAUGAUUUACCCAUCACUUUGUUAGUGAUCAACAGGGAAAUCUGUCAGUAUGUUUUGUUUAAAAUGGAGCUGAUCAACCCAAUAGUUAGGCUAUUUGCUAAUUAUAAAUUACAAUGAUAAUAGUACAGGACCAUAAGAACAGACUGAUGCUGAAUAACAGCUGUGCCCAGCUACAUCCACGCAGCUUUGCCACAUAAUGUGCAUGUGUUCAGAAGAGCCAAAUGCCCCAGAGAGAAAGCAACAGUAACUAAUUUUUCGUCAUCUUGUACAAGCAGAUUAUGCGCUAGAUGUAAAUCAUGCUCAGUAAAUACAUAAGUCAGUCAUGUGAGGUGUCUCACUUUUGGUUGCAAGUUGGAACUUAUUGCAAUCUUGGUUGUUUUUAUUUUGUUUCCUUUGUGAGCAUGAGUGACUUAGUUGCCUUGGCACAUAUUAUCAAAACUGUUUCUUCAUCACUUGGAAUCACAAAAUUUCAAUUACACAUAAAAUUUCCAGUUACUGAUAUGGUAGACUUCGAAGUUAAUUCUCUUAUCUACCAAGUAGUUUUAUCAUUCAUUGAAACAUAUCCAUGCAAUGCACAAUGGGACCCCAAAUUAUAAAUAUCUGUUCUUGCUUUCUACCCUGCUCUACAACAUUAUGAAGAUACAAAGCAAAACUAUAAAUUUACAAUUGUCCCCCAUAACCUGAGUUUCGCUUAGAAUUUGAAAAACAAAAUUGACAUCCUGCUAUAGUGUGAGAGUUGCUUUGGGCACCAAGUGAACUGCGUAGCACCUGUGCUAGAGUACACAACAAAGCAGAAAAUCGCACCAGAUUGCAAUGGCAGUGGUAAGUUAAGAACAGAAAGUUAAGAACAGUUGUUUUUUUCACGCACCAUUAAUGUGGCUUAUCAUCUGCUCCUGCUUUGUGGGAACGCGCACAUUGGGAAGACAAUUUUUUGCACCAAUCUUACCUUAGUGGGACACUUGAGAAAGGUAGAAAUCAAGAACAGGUAUUCACACUUUGUUGCCCACAGUGUAUUUAUUAUCUGAAUGUGUUUCACUCUACAAAAGACUACUGUGGUAGAUAAUCAUAAAGACCAAGACAAAAGAAUUAAAAGAAGUAUGUGUCAGUCAUCCUUCCAUGAUCUCCCGUGUUUAUAGAAACACUUCUUUCUGCAUAUGUGCGAAACUGUAGGGAAGCAUUACAUAACUCAGUCAUGCUUUCCAAGUUAAAAAUCGGAAUAAGGACGAUCACAAGAACAUUGUAUGAUUGAUUUGUAAAUGUGGCAUCUAAUGGAACUUAUUUACGUAUGUGCUGAGGGCACAUUACAGCCAGUGCAUAAUCUGUCUGCUCUUACAGGAUAGCUUGUGAUGAGUAAAAGAAGCCUUCCUCACAUUUUCCUCUUUGUUUCUUUUUGACCUCGGUGCACCAUGUGUAUUGUUACAGCUGCAUGCAUGCAGCUGGGUAUAGUUUGUGUUCUGCUAACUCCCUUGUCCUCAUUAUUCAUGUGCUAUCUUUGCCGUAACAAAAUACAGCUACCUGUGCUACAUAUUUUGUCAGCGUGUUUGCAUUAUGGCAAGUUUUGUAUUAGUGGUUAUUGCAGUCUGCGAAAUUGUCUGUCAGCUAUUACACUUCGUCUUGAAAAGUAUGUUUGUCAACAUAAAU